UGGGGAAUAUUGCACAAUGGGCGCAAGCCUGAUGCAGCGACGCCGCGUGAGGGAUGACGGCCUUCGGGUUGUAAACCUCUUUCAGCAGGGAAGAAGCGCGAGUGACGGUACCUGCAGAAGAAGCACCGGCUAACUACGUGCCAGCAGCCGCGGUAAUACGUAGGGUGCGAGCGUUGUCCGGAAUUAUUGGGCGUAAAGAGCUCGUAGGCGGCUUGUCGCGUCGGAUGUGAAAGCCCGGGGCUUAACCCCGGGUCUGCAUUCGAUACGGGCAGGCUAGAGUUCGGCAGGGGAGAUUGGAAUUCCUGGUGUAGCGGUGAAAUGCGCAGAUAUCAGGAGGAACACCGGUGGCGAAGGCGGAUCUCUGGGCCGAUACUGACGCUGAGGAGCGAAAGCGUGGGGAGCGAACAGGAUUAGAUACCCUGGUAGUCCACGCCGUAAACGUUGGGCACUAGGUGUGGGCGGCAUUCCACGUCGUCCGUGCCGCAGCUAACGCAUUAAUGCCCCGCCUGGGGAGUACGGCCGCAAGGCUA
rnacentral:rRNA from 1 species